rnacentral:rRNA from 1 species
CCUACGGGAGGCAGCAGUGGGGAAUUUUGGACAAUGGGCGCAAGCCUGAUCCAGCAAUGCCGCGUGAGUGAAGAAGGCCUUCGGGUUGUAAAGCUCUUUUGUCAGGGAAGAAACGGUGGGGGCUAAUAUCCUUUGCUAAUGACGGUACCUGAAGAAUAAGCACCGGCUAACUACGUGCCAGCAGCCGCGGUAAUACGUAGGGUGCAAGCGUUAAUCGGAAUUACUGGGCGUAAAGCGUGCGCAGGCGGUUUUGUAAGUCUGUCGUGAAAUCCCCGGGCUCAACCUGGGAAUUGCGAUGGAGACUGCAAGGCUAGAAUCUGGCAGAGGGGGGUAGAAUUCCACGUGUAGCAGUGAAAUGCGUAGAGAUGUGGAGGAACACCGAUGGCGAAGGCAGCCCCCUGGGUCAAGAUUGACGCUCAUGCACGAAAGCGUGGGGAGCAAACAGGAUUAGAUACCCUGGUAGUCCACGCCCUAAACGAUGUCUACUAGUUGUCGGGUUUUAAUUAACUUGGUAACGCAGCUAACGCGUGAAGUAGACCGCCUGGGGAGUCGGUCGCAAGAUUAAAACUCAAAGUAGUAGUGCGUCGNGAGAGCGACGACGACGACGACGAGGAGG